ACUAUUGAAAAACCACCACAUUGAAAAAAACACUUUUACUUCAAUCAUAGAGUUUGCAAGCAAAGUUUGUAGAUAGACUUUGAACCACGGAACUGCUAACAAUAUGGAACCACUUUUAGGGGGUGAGGGUGGAAAUAGGUGGCAGAUAUACAGUGGUCCUCAGAACGUUUUCAGGGUUGAGGGCUGCAGCGAAAAUGCUAGCUGACAGCUUGAACCCAGUGAUUGAGCACCUGGUAGGAAGGCAGGGCCAAUCCAGGAGAGCUCAGGUGCAAGCAAUGCAUUUGAGUGACUGGAAAGGCUAGAGCCAGGAUCCACCCCUUCCCAGACCUCAUUUAAGGGUUGGCAGGGAAGGGAAGGGUAUCUUUUUGGAGAUCCUUGUGUACCUGAGGCUUUUUGAGGAGUCAGCACACGUAUAAAUCAGUGUGGUCAAAGAAUAGACAUAACAAUAGAGUGUUGGAUACCUCUUUCAUCAGCUCUGCCACCGCAAGCAAAUAAGGCUUGCAUUUUCAUUGUGAUUUGGAACACUUACUGAAGUUAUGGAGUCAUCUCUUGUCUGUAUCUGAGAGUAUAUUGUUUCAUGAGUCUGUUGCAUGAAGCUUUCAAUAGGAUAAAUAACUGAACACCCUUCUGCAUGGAAAUGCUUUGGACCUUGCAAGGAAAAACCAUCCUCACAUUUCUCAGGAUCACCAGAUUAUGACUCAAAUCAAUGGAUUUUACUCUCCAGUGAGAAGACUGAGCAUUCACAUUGAAGAAGCAGCCUUCUGCUAUGCAGCCAGUAAUUCACAGGGAGAAGCCUCUUCCUGUUUUUUUUGCUAGAGAGGAAUUGUUUCAGCUGGAAUGUUCAUCACCUUGGUGAGAAAGUAAUGAGGAAGAGGUUGCUGUGAUUGACUGAAAAUGCAAAAUAGACAAGACUGUAUGAAGAAAUAAACCAGUGCUUCAUGUAAUGGUAUCAUACAAUUACAUUGUUCCUUAUACCACAGU